CGUAAGCCAUGCAUGUGUAAGUAUACACGGCUGUACUGUAACACUGCAAGGGCUCAUUUAAAAUCAGUUGGGUUCUUUUAUCGCUCCAGUCUACUUUGAAUAACUGUGGCAAUUCUAGAGCUAAUACAUGCAAACGAGCGCUGACCUUCGGGGGGCGUGCAUUUAUCAGACCAAAAACCCAUCGGGGGUCCUGCCCCCGGCCCUCUUGGGACACUCUAGAAUAACCUCGGGCCGAUCGCACGCCCCCCGUGGCGGCGACGACUCAUUCCAAAUGUCUGCUAUCCACACCUUCCGAUUGUUACCUUUCUGUGCUUCCAUUGGCGACCACGGGUAACCGGGAAAUCAGGGUUCGAUUCCGGAGAGGGAGCCCGGAGGAAACGGCUACCACAUCCAAGGGAGGCAGAGGCGCCGCAAAUUAACCCCUCCCGACUCGGUGAGGUAGUGACGAAAAAAAAAAUACAGGACACCUUCCGAGGCCCUGUAAUUGGAAUGAGUACACUUUAAAUCCUUUAAGAGGAUCCAUUGGAGGGCAAGUCUGGUGCCCGGCAGCCCCGCGGUAAUUCCAGCUCCAAUAGCGUAUAUAAAGUUGCGGCAGUUAAAAAGCUCGUAGUUGGAUUCUGGUGGACGAGGCUGGCGGUCCCCGCGAGGCGAGUACCGCCUGUCCCAGCCCCUGCCUCUCGGCGCCCCCUCGAUGCUCUUAGCUGAGUGUCCCGCGGGGUCGAGCGCGUUUACUUGAAAAAAUAUAGAGUGUUCAAAGCAGGCCGGUCGCUGAAUACUGCAGCUAGGGAAUGAUUGAGAAUAGGACUCUCCGGUUCUCUUUUUGUGGCUUCCUCUGAACUGGGCCAUGAUUAAGAGGGACGGCCGGGGGCAUGAUUAAGAGGGACGGCGGGGGCAUUCGUAUUGUGCCGCUAAGGUGAAAUUCUUGGACGGCGCAAGACCGAAAAAAGCGGAAGGCAUUUGCCAAGAUUUUUCUCAUUAAUCAAGAACGAAAGUCCGGAGGUUCGAAGACGAUUAACAUUACUAUCGUAGUUCUGGCCACAAAACGAUUCCCCAACUAGCCAUCCCGGCGGCGUUAUUCCCAUGACCCGCCGGGCAGCGUCUGAAACCAAAGUCCUUUGGGUUAGGGGGGAAGGAUGGUUGAAAGCUGAACUUAAAGGAAAUGGACGGGAAAGGGCACCACCAGGAGUGGAGGCUUGCGGCUUAAUUUGCCAACACGGGAAACCUCACCCGGCCCGGACCACACGGGAAACCUCACCCGGCCCGCCUGGCUGGCCGGUCCGCCUCACCGCGUGUACUGGUCCGGCCGGGCCUUUCCUUCUGGGGAACCUCAUGCCCUUCACUGGGCGUGUUGGGGAACCAGGACUUUUACUUUGAAAAAAUUAGAGUGUUCAAA
rnacentral:rRNA from 1 species